GGAUCUGUGGAUUCAAAAGGAAAAAGAAUGUAGAGAUGUGUUGUUGAUCUACAAUAUCAGAGUGGAAUCGAAAUCCUCAUCUUCAUCUUCCGACUUGAUAAAGAGCCGGUGUGGGAUCUGAGUUUGUUCUUCAUCUAGGGUUUUGAGGGUUUUGAUGAUGAGAGCAAUUGUGUGAUGGGCUUGCCUUGCUCUCAAGAAAUCGAGGGAAUAACCGAGAAGAGAGAGAGGGGGGGGGGAGAGAGAGAUAGAGACGAGAAGGAGAGUCAAGAUACAACGAGGUUGAACGAUGGCGGUAAUAACUCAAGGUGUUCGGAUCUGGAAUCCUAGGGUUAGGCUCUUAUGAUUUUCAUUUGGGGUUUUUUGUUCUGCAAUUGAGGUUUCAAGCCGAAAUCAGUGAAAAUUACAUCUGAAUUGUUACAAUCAAGCAUACAUGGUGUAGUCGUUGACCCUAAUGUUGGAACCGUUUUGUGAUUUUCUGUUUGUAAAGAUCUGGUUGUAGCCGGUUGUUGUAGAUACAAAUGAAGAUGCGGUAGACAUUAGCGGUUUACACGUCCUCAUAUGCAUUCUAUGAGUCUGUUUUCAUUUACAUUCA